rnacentral:lncRNA from 12 species
AUGCCUGAACAUGUAUUUCUGCAGUGCUCUCAAGGCCUGUGGACCCAUAGGAUGUGGAGUCCGGUUGAGGAAUGUUCUAUAGGGAGUCAAGUCUCACUGUUGGAAAGCAGCUGUUCCAAGCUGGACAACAUCUCAGAAAAGCAGGACAGGAAGAGCUGUAUCGACCAGAUGGCUCAAACAACCCCUGUUUCCUCUCAAGAAUGUCUCAUACCCAAUAAGCUGUUGAAAGAAUCGACGACAUCCACUGGAAUGAAUGAAGAGCAUGACUGCUCAAAGCAAAGACAAGACCACAAAAUAGAGGAGCUCCUAAGCCAGGUGGAGGUCCUUUGGGAUGCUCUGCAAAAGAAAUAUGGAGAGAACAAUAAGACUGAACCGGCGGAAAAAGAACAAUCUGGAGAUGAAGCUGCACAGAUGGUUUCAGAUCUUACAGUUUCAAACAAUCUCCCGGAAAAAGUAGAGGAAGGCAGUUCAGGAAUGCUUGAAAAGUUCCUUGAACUUCUUGAUCCCAGUGGUUAUCACAAAAUAAAUCAGGCUCAUUAUAAUAUCAUUGAAGGAGAGGUGAGAGAAAUGGAGAGACUAGACAGUCAGCUAAAGGUUCCUUCCCCAGAACAGAGAGACCUUCUCAGGGAAGAGGUUCAGGCAAUCCUGCAGGCUUGGGAGGAAGUAGGCCGCAACAUGGCUGAAAACAGAAGCCGUCUGGAGAAGUUCCACCAGAUUCAGGACUACUUCGAAAACUAUCUUGCCAUGAUUACGUGGACAGAGAACACCAGAUCCUGUAUCCUUGCCGGUGGCUCUGCUUGGAGAGAGAGUGAAGUUGCAGAGAUUGAUCACAGCAUUGAAACCAAGCUGGAUGAGUUUAGCAAACUGGCUGCAGCUGGUCAAAUGCUUAUGCAAGAUGAGAGUCAGUUUAAAGACAUUAUCAAGGAGAGAACAGAUGAGUUGCAAAGCAUGCUGGGAUGGAUCCAGGUGAACUGGCACGUUCAAAGAGAGCAGCUUAAAAGAAACCAGAAUGGGAGACCAGAGUCAACAAACGAUCCUGUUCAACAGCAGGCUAUACCUUUCAAAAAACCUUCUGAUGGUCUUUGCAUUAUAAAUGGAGAGGUCAAAGGAAAUACUCCUGAAACACAGUCCUCUCAAAACAACUUUGAGCAACAGAAUGGGAGGCAUGAUGUGUCCAGUGUUGUUAGUCAGGAGUCAUGCCUUUCAAAGACAUCCCUAGGCUCUAGCAUCUGUCUCAUUUUGAGCUUUGAUGACCAGUCUUCAGGCAUUAACCAAGUGACAAAGCAAUGGUCCCCCAACAAUAAUGAAAUACUUGAAGAGUCAGCAAGCAGCAUUCAGGCAGACAGCUGUCAAUCACAGGACACAACCUCAAUGCAAAUACAACAGCCACAAGAAAUUCUCCAGGAAAGAUGGCCGAAUGAAUCAGUCAAGAGUAAAGACACCAAACCCAAGUCAUCUUGUGUGAAUCUUGCACAGCUGCAAAUCAAAAACCAAGGAGAACCAGACCAGUCACCAAGCAAAGAAGAAAUAUCCAACCAGUUGUCCACAUAUAACACUGAAUCAUCAUUUUGCAAUCACCUACCAGAUAAUCUGCAGUCCAACAACAACCAAACAUAUCUGCAACCAUCACCAGAUGUCGAUCAGAUGCAAAAUCCUGAGAAUCAAGCACAAAAAACUCAGUCACAAAGCUACAGCCCGAACCGGAUGCAAAAAUCUGCACACAACAAUCUAGAAUCAAACCAAAACCAAAGUGACGACCACCUGCGGUCUGAAGUCACUCAUAGGGUGUUCACGUAUUUGCACGUCUCGGAUACUUACAGAUCAACAGGGCAAGUCUUGGAGGUCACAUCCCCAACACAUGCAGCAGAAAAUGUCACACAUGAAAGGAGAACGGUUUAUAAUCACAACAGAUUCGAGCCAAGCUCUUUGUUCAAGCUGAAAGAGCCAAUCACAAACGAGGAAGAAAACCAGCGAAGGAACUCUCUGCUUGGCUCUGUAGGAUCGGAAAGGUCUGGCAAACCUUCAAGCAUUUUCAGGCGAAGGUGUAACACUUGGCCAGAAGGAGAAGGGAGAGUGAAAGAAAGUCAAUCAAACUCCAAACUUCAGGUUUUUAUUAAAAAAAACAUGUUGCCGGUGAAUUCUGUCAUCGAUAACAAGUCCAACUCUUUUCCAGAAGACAACUUGCCUAAUGCUGUCAAGACUUCAAGUGGACCGGUUAAAAACAUCUGCUCUUAUUUGUCUCUAGGAUCCACUCUUAGCUUCAGUCUUCCCAAGUGCUUUCACAACAGUGUCUUAGACAUGCAAAAUAAAGAGGAGAUUCAACCUGUCCAGAUUUAUGAUGACUCAGACAACCAAAAAAUACCCUCAGCUCGAACGCCACAGUCAGAAAUGGAGGUAGAACCAGUGAUACAUACUAAACAAACUGAAAUAAACCUUCAUACAGUAAAUAUGGAAGAUUGGGACAAUACAGAAGAACCAACCACUGAGGUUGAGACCCAACAGUUAAACCAAAUUUAUGAAAACACAGAACCUGUCUUGAGGGUUUUCACGUCGGUUGAAUAUGAAGAACCUGAUCAUGUUUCCGCCAGCCGUCACAAAGCCUCUUCUCCAGUGGUCAAUGGCUCUGCCUUGGUCACUCACUGCAGGCCUCUGUGUCCUUCUUCAUCAGGUGGUCACAGUUGCUUAAGUGUUUACACUAAAAUAAAAGACCUGAACGGCCACUUAUAUUACACAUCCAAAUACAUGAAGAUAAACCCUUCUAAAAAAUUGUUCCCUAAUGGCCCAGGCUCUCGUAAGAGCGGCCGCGUCAUAAACUGUGGUGUGAGAGACUGUGCAGUGUGUUUCAGUGAUACAGUGAAAGAGACAAGUGUAGACUGGGCAGAGAAACCUGACAUAAGCACGGAGGAACUUCUUAAGCCAGGCCACUGGUUAUUCCAGCAGGAGGAAGAGGAACUGGAAGAUAUCUGGAGAGGAAGAGUGGGUAAUCUAACUUCAAACUGUACUGUGGAAACAAAUACGGAUGAAGAAACAGGGCUAUCAAUCAAAACCAACAGGGGACAGGUAGCCCACCCACUGCAUGGAUGA